UAAUUGAAUUAAUAUUCAUAAUAGACUUGAUUUCUUGUAAUUAAAAUUUGACCAACCUCACUUUAUUUUCUCUCAUGCCUUGAGGCCUCUUAUCCCUUCUUAAAACCUUUUUUUCAAAAUUGUUAAAAUCAACCUAACCCACCAAAGAAAUUCUUUAGGUGAACUACAUUGGUUUUGAUCCCUUUUCUUAAAGGGUAUGUAGGCAU
rnacentral:lncRNA from 1 species